rnacentral:lncRNA from 1 species
GAAUUCACAUAUUACCUCACCGUCAAAUAACACUUGAUUUACUUUUGUUGAUCAUUUGCAGGUGUUGUGUCUGUAACCACACAGUCACCAGCAUCCCCAGCUCAGACCUCCAUGGCAUCAACGCUGACAGUGACAGCUACUUCAACAAUGGCUACUAUGGCUGCUGCCUCCACUACUGCCCAGACAGCUGCCUCCACUACUGCCCCGACAGCUGCCCCUACAGCUUCUGCUACAACAGCUCUUGCAACAACAGCAUUAAAUACUGAUGAAGCAAGUGGAGAUGAGGGCAGCAUCACUCUGUCUUUUAGUCUUAAUCGAACAUUCAGUUCCGAUCUUCUCGAUACAACUUCAACUGCAUUCACAGCACUGGAAUCAGAAGUGCUGUCUGACUUGAAUACAGUUUAUAAAGCAGCAUUUCCAAGCAGCUUCAGUCGCUCCAGGAUCACAGGCUUCUCGUGAGUAUCAUUACACUGUGAAGAUAAGUUGGGUUCUGCAUUCAUGAGCAAAGUCCAGUGUAGUAUGUGUUGUCAAUUAUUCUGUCUGUGUUUUCAGGAGUGGGUCAGUUGUUGUUGGCUCACAGCUUGUGUUUACAAGCACAAGUUCAGUUCCACAAACCAGCACCGUUGAAUCUGCUUUCAGUGCCUCAACUAAACUGAACAUAGUGUCGGGUACCAUCAGUGCAAGUAAGUUUUGUCACGUUAACUAAAUAAUGUUUUGUUUCUAUAUGCAUUAUUCUAUCACUGUUGUUUGGUUUACUUGAAAUAUUUCAACACCUCUUUUCACCUAAACUAGCUGCUUCUACAACGGCUACUACGGCUGCUGCAUCAACUAUUACGACAACUACAACAACUACAACAACUACCACAACUACGACAGCCACAACUACGACAGCCGCACAGACAACGUCAUCUGGCUCUCCUCCACAAGCCAGAAUGGUGUCAGCUCUCACUCUGGCUCUCACCAUGUUGCUCCUUUCUCUGCAAAGUCUGACCCUCUCAUAAAAGCUUGUGGCAUCUAAUUCAGUACACAGCUACAUAUGUGGAUAUGACCUGUAUUAUGUUAAGGCAUGAGGUUAGACAAAUGAAAAACCUGGACUAGAAAGCUGUACAGUUAGCUACACUACAAAGACAACUGUUCUUAAACAGUGUAUGAUAGUCAGGCAAAAUCCUUGCCGUUUUAUUAUGUUUGGUAUCCUCUUUUGAUAUGAUACGAUGAUAUAUUUAUGGUGACUUUUAUGUAAUAAAAUAUGUGCUAUAUAAUAUAUGCUAUUGUAC